GAGGGGCGUGGACGGUGAGGGCCUAUGCUGUGUUGAGCAGCAAAAGAAGUCGAGAUCCUAGAAUCAAUGAGCUGGAAGAACACGAGGAAGCCGGAGGGCAGAGGCUUGAAGUUGAGAUUUCAGAAACGGUGCAGUUUCACACUCAGGAUUGACACGGGAGGUGGUGGCUGAGGUGACACGAUGGAAGUGGCUGUCGGAGAUUGCUCUCCAGUGGCAGAGUGCAAACGACUUGACCUGGGAAACAGAAAGACGUGGGUUCAAGAUGCCCCUUUCCCACUCACUAGCAUUUGCUUAACCGUCCUGCCACUCAGCUUCCGUGCUUGCAAAAUAGCAAUAGGAACACCUCCCCACAGGGCGCUAAGAGGACUGGAGAACUUGUCUACAAGGUCGCUGAGCAGAAUGGGAUCCCCAGGAAAGGUAGACACCACAGUUAUCAGUUGUAUUAAUAUUCACCCACCAGGUGUCACGAAGAGCAAUGGCAUGACCGACCACUGCUGGGAUGUUGAGAACACAAGGAGACUAGGUUUGGGAACCUCUUUGUGCAUAACUGCUAAGUCCUGAACUUCUGUUCUAAAAUAAUGGAUGAAUAUGAUGCGUUGAAGAGCCCAGGAAUGAUGUCUAGCAUCUCGAUGUGCUCACUUAAUGUCCCGAGAUGUGCUAACUUGUGCUCUUCACUAUUAACAGGGUCUUUACUGGGGCAAGAGAUUUUCAUUAAAUUGGUCUCUUACACUUUACAGUUUCAAGUGGCGCUUUUUGGGGGCUUGUGAAGUUCCUGAGAAUAGCUGCAAGGAACUCAUGAAACUGUCUUUUUUUUUUUAACCUGAUGAAAC